rnacentral:rRNA from 1 species
UACGUAGGGUGCGAGCGUUGCCCGGAAUUAUUGGGCGUAAAGAGCUUGUAGGCGGUUUGUCGCGUCUGCUGUGAAAAUCCGGGGCUCAACCCCGGACUUGCAGUGGGUACGGGCAGACUAGAGUGUGGUAGGGGAGACUGGAAUUCCUGGUGUAGCGGUGAAAUGCGCAGAUAUCAGGAGGAACACCGAUGGCGAAGGCAGGUCUCUGGGCCACUACUGACGCUGAGAAGCGAAAGCAUGGGGAGCGAACAGGAUUAGAUA